CCUACGGGAGGCAGCAGUGGGGAAUAUUGGGCAAUGGGCGCAAGCCUGACCCAGCAACGCCGCGUGAAGGAAGAAGGCUUUCGGGUUGUAAACUUCUUUUCUCAGGGACGAAGCAAGUGACGGUACCUGAGGAAUAAGCCACUGCUAACUACGUGCCAGCAGCCGCGGUAAUACGUAGGUGGCAAGCGUUAUCCGGAUUUACUGGGUGUAAAGGGCGUGUAGGCGGGAAAGCAAGUCAGAUGUGAAAACCAUGGGCUCAACCUGUGGCCUGCAUUUGAAACUGUUUUUCUUGAGUACUGGUGAGGCAGACGGAAUUCCUAGUGUAGCGGUGAAAUGCGUAGAUAUUAGGAGGAACACCAGUGGCGAAGGCGGUCUGCUGGACAGCAACUGACGCUGAGGCGCGAAAGCGUGGGGAGCAAACAGGAUUAGAUACCCUGGUAGUC
rnacentral:rRNA from 1 species